GAGGAAUGAUGAUGCUGAGAAGGUUUCGCUAAACAACCUGAUAUCAUGUGAUGUCACAAUUUCUCUUGGCUGUCUGACCAA
ensembl:snoRNA small nucleolar RNA SNORD53/SNORD92